GGCUCCUCGUAGAAAUAAAUGGGGAGUCGGACCUGCCCGGUGAAUUUUUAACGGCCGCGGUACUCUGACCGUGCAAAGGUAGCAUAAUAAUUUGCCUUAUAAUUGAAGGCUGGUAUGAAUGGUUUGACAAGAAUAUAACUGUCUCUUUAUGAUUUUAUAGAAUUUUAUAUUUAGGUGAAGAAGCCUAAUUUUAAUUAAAAGACAAGAAGACCCUAUCGAGCUUGAAAAAAGUUAAUAGAUUAUUCACUAAUUUAAUUAGAAGUUUUUCUAUUAAAAAUUUUAGUUGGGGCGACCGAGGAACAAAAAAAGCUUCCUUAUAAAUUUAAAUAUUUACAAAUAAUGAUCCAAAAAUUUUGAUUAAGGAAACUAGUUACCGUAGGGAUAACAGCAUUAUCUUUUUUAAGAGUUCAUAUCGAAAAAAAGGUUUGUGACCUCGAUGUUGGACCAGAAUAUCCCAAAGAUGCAGCAGUCUUUAAAGGUUGGUCUGUUCGACCAUUAAAAUUCUACG
rnacentral:rRNA from 1 species